UUUGUGUAAGUAAAAUCUGUUAAAAUGAUAAUUUAUAAAAAAGUAUUUUAAAAAAUAAAUGAAAAAUCAAAUUAAAAUAUAAAAAAAAACUAUUAAUUUAUUAAAAAAAUUAAAAAUUAAAAAAUUAAAAAAUAAACGAAUGUCAAUCCCAUCUUAAUAAAAAAUAUUAUUUAAGACAAACUUGUCUAUUCCACUUUUUUUUUUGGCGGACUUAAAAUAUCACCGAUAGAC
rnacentral:lncRNA from 1 species